AUCACUGAGGGGUUUUGUUAAAAUAGAGAUUCUGACUCCGUAGGUUUGGAAGCCACAGAUUCUGCAUUUCUAACAAGUUCUCAGGUGAUAC
rnacentral:miRNA from 1 species